rnacentral:rRNA from 1 species
UGAACGCUGGCGGUAGGCCUAACACAUGCAAGUCGAACGGCAGCACAGGAGAGCUUGCUCUCUGGGUGGCGAUGGCGGACGGUGAGGAAUGCAUCGGAAUCUACUCUUUCGUGGGGGAUAACGUAGGGAAACUUACGCUAAUACCGCAUACGACCUACGGGUGAAAGCCGGGGACCUUCGGGCCUGGCGCGAAAGAAUGAGCCGAUGCCCGAUUAGCUAGUUGGCGGGGUAAGAGCCCACCAAGGCGACGAUCGGUAGCUGGUCUGAGAGGAUGAUCAGCCACACUGGAACUGAGACACGGUCCAGACUCCUACGGGAGGCAGCAGUGGGGAAUAUUGGACAAUGGGCGCAAGCCUGAUCCAGCCAUACCGCGUGGGUGAAGAAGGCCUUCGGGUUGUAAAGCCCUUUUGUUGGGAAAGAAAAGCAGUCGGUUAAUACCCGAUUGUUCUGACGUACCCAAAGAAUAAGCACCG